UUUCAAUGAGGAAGAAUGCCCGAAGUGAUAGGAAGUGCCGUAUGACACGUUAUACAGCGCCGCCCAGACACUAACGGAGGCCGCCUCGUUCCCAUCCCCCAAUGAUUAGUUUAUUGGCCGGGAAACUGGCGUGCGGGUCCGGUUUGCCGCCGCCGUGCUUGAUUUGGAACGGUAUUUAUCAGAUUUUUGUAAAGGUUCGAUGCCGUGACGACGGUAGCUAAAUAGCCGUGACCCGUAUUGUGCUAUGAUUGAACCGAGAGCGAGGAUCUUCUGUUUCGCAUUCUGAUAGGAACCUGUGGAUCCUAAUUUUUUACUGGUCCACGGAGCCGUUUUACUGCGAUUACAUUUUUAAGUUUCUUGAAGUUUUAUUUAAUUUUGAUAAAACAAAUUCUUUUGUUAAAGGAUGAGCCUAUGAGGAUUUUGUUUUAGUUGGAAUUACCGACUGAUUUUUAUUGAUGUCAAAUAACUGGCUUUCUGAGGCUUCAA
rnacentral:sRNA from 1 species